GCACAUGUACACACACGCAAGAAAAGACGAACUUUAUAUCAGUGAGUCUCACUCCCUUCUGCUGCACACAGAUAAGCCAGCACUGCUUAAUGAGAUUCGGGUUCAGAAGAGUCUCCUGGACGAGAGGCUGAAGGAGAAGUCCCAGGACCUGAUGCAGAAGGGCAGUCUGCAAUGAGUCCUGUGGUGAGUAUGCCCUAGGCUGAGCUGGAGGGAAGGACAGGAGACCCUGCCAUGUCUGAGGCUCCUGCCCAUUGCUCUGACAGACAUCCUCUCCGAAAUGGAAGUCACUGCAUGUGCUGACUGCCGGAAGUUCUACCUGUCCUGCAAUGACUCUACCUUGUGCACAGCCAGGGUCACAUGGAGCUACAAGUGGGUUGUAGUCCUUUUCACCAUCUUGAUGUUCCUGGCUGUUGCUGGCAUUGGGUGAGUGACUUCUCUCAGCUUCAGUGUCCCUAAGGAAACACCCAUUCUUUGACUGACCUGUCUCUCACCUUUUUCUUGCUCAGUGGAUACUUUUUCUGGCUCCAGAAGAGGUCAGCGGAGGCUGAUAAGAGAAGAGACAGCAAGUUACUUCCUUCAGGAAACGACCAGCAACUAGGGCAGCAACCAGAGCAGCUGCCAGAGCCCAUGCUGUCUGAAAGCUGUCUCUGGCCCUGGUGACUCUCUAUUGCACAAAGCACUCCUUCCUGGGACCUGGAGAGCUCUGAGGCCCUGCAGCUCUGCAGACAAGACUGAUAUAUUCUCUCUCUCUCUCUCUCUCUCUC
rnacentral:lncRNA from 1 species